rnacentral:rRNA from 1 species
UACGGAGGGUGCGAGCGUUGUCCGGAAUCAUUGGGCGUAAAGAGCGCGUAGGUGGCGGGACAAGCGUGCGGUGAAAGCUUGGGGCUCAACCCCGAGUCGGCCGUGCGAACUGUCUUGCUUGAGCACUGUAGAGGCAGGCGGAAUUCCGGGUGUAGCGGUGGAAUGCGUAGAGAUCCGGAAGAACACCGGUGGCGAAGGCGGCCUGCUGGGCAGUAGCUGACACUGAGGCGCGACAGCGUGGGGAGCAAACAGG